rnacentral:rRNA from 1 species
GAGCUUGCUCUGUGGAUCAGUGGCGAACGGGUGAGUAACAGAGAGCAAUCUGCCCCUGACUCUGGGAUAAGCGCUGGAAACGGCGUCUAAUACCGGAUACGAGCUGCGACCGCAUGGUCAGUAGCUGGAAAGAAUUUCGGUCAGGGAUGAGCUCGCGGCCUAUCAGCUUGUUGGUGAGGUAAUGGCUCACCAAGGCGUCGACGGGUAGCCGGCCUGAGAGGGUGACCGGCCACACUGGGACUGAGACACGGCCCAGACUCCUACGGGAGGCAGCAGUGGGGAAUAUUGCACAAUGGGCGAAAGCCUGAUGCAGCAACGCCGCGUGAGGGAUGACGGCCUUCGGGUUGUAAACCUCUUUUAGCAGGGAAGAAGCGAAAGUGACGGUACCUGCAGAAAAAGCGCCGGCUAACUACGUGCCAGCAGCCGCGGUAAUACGUAGGGCGCAAGCGUUAUCCGGAAUUAUUGGGCGUAAAGAGCUCGUAGGCGGUCUGUCGCGUCUGCUGUGAAAACCCGAGGCUCACCUCGGGCCUGCAAUUGGGUACGGGCAGACUAGAGUGCGGUAGGGGAGAUUGGAAUUCCUGGUGUAGCGGUGGAAUGCGCAGAUAUCAGGAGGAACACCGAUGGCGAAGGCAGAUCUCUGGGCCGUAACUGACGCUGAGGAGCGAAAGGGUGGGGAGCAAACAGGCUUAGAUACCCUGGUAGUCCACCCCGUAAACGUUGGGAACUAGUUGUGGGGUCCAUUCCACGGAUUCCGUGACGCAGCUAACGCAUUAAGUUCCCCGCCUGGGGAGUACGGCCGCAAGGCUAAAACUCAAAGGAAUUGACGGGGACCCGCACAAGCGGCGGAGCAUGCGGAUUAAUUCGAUGCAACGCGAAGAACCUUACCAAGGCUUGACAUAUAGAGGAAACGUCUGGAAACAGUCGCCCCGCAAGGUCUCUAUACAGGUGGUGCAUGGUUGUCGUCAGCUCGUGUCGUGAGAUGUUGGGUUAAGUCCCGCAACGAGCGCAACCCUCGUUCUAUGUUGCCAGCACGUAAUGGUGGGAACUCAUGGGAUACUGCCGGGGUCAACUCGGAGGAAGGUGGGGAUGACGUCAAAUCAUCAUGCCCCUUAUGUCUUGGGCUUCACGCAUGCUACAAUGGCCGGUACAAAGGGCUGCAAUACCGUGAGGUGGAGCGAAUCCCAAAAAGCCGGUCCCAGUUCGGAUUGAGGUCUGCAACUCGACCUCAUGAAGUCGGAGUCGCUAGUAAUCGCAGAUCAGCAACGCUGCGGUGAAUACGUUCCCGGGUCUUGUACACACCGCCCGUCAAGUCAUGAAAUUAAUCACACCUAAAGCCUGGUGGCCCAACCCUUGUGGAGG